rnacentral:lncRNA from 1 species
GGUACCUUAUCUCUACGUCCCUUUGUGUCCUUAUUCAUUAGAUGGGGAUAAUAAAUGGUGUCAUACAGUUUUUUGUAUGAUUAAGUUAACUGAAAGUACCUAAAAUACUGCCUGGCAUACAAUGCAUUAAAAAUUAACAUUUUAUUACUAGUGUGGUUGCUAUUACUUAACUAUUCUAACCAGGUUUUAGUCUUGUUUAAUAACAGCAGAAAGUAUAAAACGAAAAAAAUCUAAUGAAAGGCAAACCAGUUGUUUUUUAACUAAGAUUCUCUUUUACAGACUGUCGAGUUUUUGGAAGGUAAGAGCUGAGAAUACUUUCUUUAGGACCUGUCAGGUUUCCCUGAUCCUAGCUGGACCCUGUCAUCAUGUGAAGUCUGAGCAAACUUCCUGUGUCUGGGAGUGCAUCAGAAGUGAAACUUGUGCUUCAUACUAAGAAAUCUCUUGAGAAUGGCUGGGUCUUGGCUCUUUGAUCUCACCUCUACCUCAUGGAAAGAGAAGAGCUUCUAAAAAAUGUGUUAGGUGGAUGAAUCACACCAAUACCUCCCAGAAGCCACCUGGUCACUUCACUGACUUAGUCAGAUGUCACAGUCACAUAACCCUAUGGGGAUCGGGCAAGUGUCCACCUCUUAAAACCCUUUAUCCACAACUUUAAUCACCUUUGAUAUUCAUUACAUUUGACUUGCUGCUCUUACUCUUUUUGGACAUAACCAAUGCUUGAUGCUAAGACACGAUGUGGCUGUUUACUUCAAAAAGGAAGGGAAAAAGGAAAAGGCUUUCUUUAAAAUUUCAUUUUGAGGGCCAGGGAUUUAGCUCAGUGGUUCCACCGCCUGCCUCACAAGCACAAAGUCCCGAGUUCGAUCCCUGGUACCAAAAAAGAUUUUCAUUGUGAAACAAGGUCUCUGGUUAGUUGCCUAGACUGGGCUUGAACCUGCAGUCCUCCUCUUGAGUAGCUGAGAUUGCAGGCAUAUGCCACUGUGCCUGCCAAAGGAUAUUAAAAAAAAAGUUUACUUAUGCAGAAAAUUUUGAGGAAAUAUUAAUUUGUAAGGAAAAAAGCAGGAUAAAAGUAUCCAGAAGCUCUUGACCCCGAAUCUGUUAAUGUUUGGUAAGUUUUCAGUAUGGCUUUAUUCUAUUUUUAUUG